rnacentral:rRNA from 1 species
CAAAAACAUGUCCUUUUGGAGUGGAUUUAAGGUCUAACCUGCCCAAUGAAUUUUGAAUGGCCGCGGUAUUUUAACUGUGCUAAGGUAGCAUAAUCAUUUGUCUUUUAAUUGAGGGCUAGUAUGAAGGGUUGGACGAGGCAUUAACUUUCUUUGAUUUAAUUUGGAAAAUUUAAUUUUUUAGUUAAAAAGCUAAAAUGGACUUGUAGGACGAGAAGACCCUGUAGAUCUUUAUUUUUACAAUAAAUUGAGUGGUUUAGUUGUUGUUAAUGUUAUUUGAUUGAUUGUAAUAAUUUUGUUGGGGUGACAGUAGAAUUUAAUUAACUUCUAUUAUUGUGGAUUUCAUUUGUUAGUGUUUAUUUUGAUCCUUUAUUAAAGAUUAUAAGAUUAAGUUACCUCAGGGAUAACAGCGUAAUUUCUUCGGAGAGCUCUUAUUGAUGAAGGAGUUUGCGACCUCGAUGUUGGAUUAAAAUAAGUUAUAGGCGCAGUCGUUUAUAAACUGAGUCUGUUCGACUCUUAAAUUUUUACAUGAUCUGAGUUCA